rnacentral:rRNA from 1 species
GAUGAACGCUGGCGGCGUGCCUAAUACAUGCAAGUCGAGCGAAUGGAUUAAGAGCUUGCUCUUAUGAAGUUAGCGGCGGACGGGUGAGUAACACGUGGGUAACCUGCCCAUAAGACUGGGAUAACUCCGGGAAACCGGGACUAAUACCGGAUAACAUUUUGAACCGCAUGGUUCGAAAUUGAAAGGCGGCUUCGGCUGUCACUUAUGGAUGGACCCGCGUCGCAUUAGCUAGUUGGUGAGGUAACGGCUCACCAAGGCAACGAUGCGUAGCCGACCUGCGAGGGUGAUCGGCCACACUGGGACUGAGACACGGCCCAGACUCCGACGGGAGGCAGCAGUAGGGAAUCUUCCGCAAUGGACGAAAGUCUGACGGAGCAACGCCGCGUGAGUGAUGAAGGCUUUCGGGUCGUAAAACUCCGUUGUUAGGGAAGAACAAGUGCUAGUUGAAUAAGCUGGCACCUUGACGGUACCUAACCAGAAAGCCACGGCUAACUACGUGCCAGCCGCCGCAGUAA